UUCUCGUUGAUGAUCGGUGCUUGCACCGAGAUUCAACAUGGAACGAGUGGCGGACGGGUGAGUAACACGUGGGUAACCUGCCCUUAAGUGGGGGAUAACAUUUGGAAACAGAUGCUAAUACCGCAUAGAUCCAAGAACCGCAUGGUUCUUGGCUGAAAGAUGGCGUAAGCUAUCGCUUUUGGAUGGACCCGCGGCGUAUUAGCUAGUUGGUAAGGUAAUGGCUCACCAAGGCGAUGAUACGUAGCCGAACUGAGAGGUUGAUCGGCCACAUUGGGACUGAGACACGGCCCAAACUCCUACGGGAGGCAGCAGUAGGGAAUCUUCCACAAUGGACGCAAGUCUGAUGGAGCAACGCCGCGUGAGUGAAGAAGGCUUUCGGGUCGUAAAACUCUGUUGUUGGAGAAGAAUGGUCGGCAGAGUAACUGUUGUCGGCGUGACGGUAUCCAACCAGAAAGCCACGGCUAACUACGUGCCAGCAGCCGCGGUAAUACGUAGGUGGCAAGCGUUAUCCGGAUUUAUUGGGCGUAAAGCGAGCGCAGGCGGUUUUUUAAGUCUGAUGUGAAAGCCCUCGGCUUAACCGAGGAAGCGCA
rnacentral:rRNA from 1 species